CUCAGAUCUAUGCUGUGAUUUGUUGAUUAGAUUUGUUGAUUAUAAAUAACCGAACAGUUCCUAUAUUUCUAUAUCCGAAAUAACAAAAAAAAAAACGAAUGUGUAAGCCUUGUGUAGAGUAAUUGGCAUGAACAAGAUUUUUUUGAGCUGUGAUUCUUGGAUUUAUAGCUUAUGUAUAAAUAGCCGAAUGGUUCUUAUAUUUCUAUAUCCGAAAGAAAUAAUAAUUUAAAAUGAAUAGAAUGUCUAGGCCUAAUGUAUAGUAAUUGGCAUGAACAAGGUUUUUGAGCUUGCUUUGGUUUCAGAUCUAAGCUGUGAUUCUUGGAUUUACAGCUGUGUAUAAUUAGCCAAACGGUUCUUAUAUCUCUAUAUUCAAAAGAACUUGGAAACUAAAAAAACUGAACCAAAAACCGAAUGUAUAGGUCUAGUGUAGAGUAAUUGACUUGGUUUACGCUGUGAUUCUUGGAUUUAUAGCUAUGUAUAAAUAGCUGAACGGUUCUCUAAAUCAAAAAAAAAAAUUGAAUCGAAAAUUGAAUGUCUAGGCCUAGUGUAUAGUAAUUGGGAUGAACAAGAUCUUUGAGGUUGACUAUGUUACAGAUCUAAGCUGUGAUUCAUGAUGAUAUAUAUAAAUAACUGAACGGUUCCUAUAUACAGUUUAUGUAUCUCUAUAUCCAAAAUAAAUUAAAAAACAAAA